rnacentral:sRNA from 1 species
ACAUUGACCUCGAAUCAGGUGGGACUACCCGCUGAACUUAAGCAUAUCAAUAAGCGGAGGAAAAGAAACUAACAAGGAUUCCCCUAGUAACGGCGAGUGAAGCGGGAAAAGCUCAAAUUUAAAAUCUGGCAGUCUUUGAUUGUCCGAGUUGUAAUCUAGAGAAGCGUUUUCCGCGCUGGACUGUAUACAAGUUUCCUGGAUACGGAACAUCAUAGAGGGUGAGAAUCCCGUCCUUGAUACAGACUACCAGUGCUCUGUGAUGCGCUCUCGACGAGUCGAGUUGUUUGGGAUUGCAGCUCAAAAUGGGAGGUAAAUUCCUUCUAAGGCUAAAUAUUGGCGAGAGACCGAUAGCGAACAAGUACCGUGAGGGAAAGAUGAAAAGCACUUUGGAAAGAGAGUUAAACAGUACGUGAAAUUGUUAAAAGGGAAACGAUUGAAGUCAGUCGCGUCUACUUGGACUCAGCCUUGCCUCUUGGCUUGGUGCAUUUCCUUGUAGACGGGCCAGCGUCCAUGUCUUCUGCCGGAAAAGGGGUGAGGGAAUGUGGCUCUUCCGGGAGUGUUAUAGCCCUGGCUCGUAUACGGUGUGGGAUAUGGAGUGGUACAGCAUGCUUCGGCGGUGCUUGUGCUGGCAUAAUGGCUUUAAACGAC